UUGUCCCAAAAUAGUUGUUUUUCUUGUCUCUCAUUUUUCGUAGCAUAGAUAAUACGCGAUUCGCGAUAAAGUCUCGUUUGACCAUAAAAAAUUCAACAUUUUGAUCGAAGAAUAUAAAUAAUACUAGCUUUUGCCCGCGACUUCGUCCGCGUGGAAUAGUUACUUUAGCAUAACGCUAAAUUUUACCCGCCUCUUCAUUUAUGGAGAAAGUGAAAAUAUUUUUGAAUAAUAGAAUGAUAAGGAGUUAUUUAAGAUUUCCCGAAUGGUCCUGUUUACAUUAAGAUCUGACGAUGAGAUCUUGGAGAAAUCCAGAAAAAUCUAUAAUUGUCAAAGCCUAUCUUGAAGUGAUUUGGGUGUUUCAAUGUUGUAAUGAAUAACGUAUUUAUUUGGAUAGGGAUGAAUAUCAUCUUUAUAAAAACACCUUCACAAAUAAUGCUUUAUUUUAGAACAAAUUUGUUAGAUUGUUAAAUUAGAGCCAACCUUAAUAUAUAGACAUAAUUAUUAUGAUA